GUGAGGGAAAGUUGAAAUAGAACUUUGCAGAGAGAGUUAAGAGGGCGUGAAACCGUUAAUUGGCAAACGAAUCGGAGCCACGAAGUCGUUUCGCAGAUAGUUGGGCCAGGUUCAGCUUUGGCUUGCCCCGGCGGCAAGUUAGGGUGCACUCUUGGAUUUAGCCAACCAAUCUUUGUAAGCGUACACUGCAACCAGUUAGACAAUUGCUGAUGGGCAUAGUGGCGUUUGUUGGCAGUUGGCGCAAGCUGGCUGCCCGGCGGGCGUCGCGCAGCAUUUGUUUGCUGCAAGAGGAAGUAGUUUGGCUUUGCGUAUGCGGAUGUGCGAACUGCUGGCUUGCUAGCAAGUGAGCUAUGAGCAAAUACUGACUGGCGAAAUGAAAAUCGACCCACUUGCGGCGUCGUUUUAAAGAGAAUGCGUCCGCAGGCCGCGCUGCUACACGUCUAGCUCGUGCGUCUUCUAAAGUUCGGUAGUUUUGAAUUUGGACUUGCCAGCUACCAAUGGGGCAACUCUUGGUGCUAGUAUAGCUUCCACCUAAUCGGCUAUUGACUUGGCGUACGGUUGUUUAGUGCGUGAAUCGUUUGGCGACGCGCGUCUAGCUGGAUGGCAAUUCGAAUUGGCAGUGAGUAGGUCGGCUUUCCGAACGACCCGUCUUGAAAC
rnacentral:rRNA from 1 species